CCUACGGGGGGCAGCAGUGGGGAAUAUUGGACAAUGGGGGCAACCCUGAUCCAGCCAUGCCGCGUGUGUGAAGAAGGCCCUCGGGUUGUAAAGCACUUUCAGUGAGGAAGAACGCCUGGUGGUUAAUACCCAUCAGGAAAGACAUCACUCACAGAAGAAGCACCGGCUAACUCCGUGCCAGCAGCCGCGGUAAUACGGAGGGUGCGAGCGUUAAUCGGAAUUACUGGGCGUAAAGCGCGCGUAGGUGGCUUGAUAAGCCGGUUGUGAAAGCCCCGGGCUCAACCUGGGAACGGCAUCCGGAACUGUCAAGCUAGAGUGCAGGAGAGGAAGGUAGAAUUCCCGGGGUAGCGGUGAAAUGCGUAGAGAUCGGGAGGAAUACCAGUGGCGAAGGCGGCCUUCUGGACUGACCCUGACACUGAGGUGCGAAAGCGUGGGUAGCAAACAGGAUUAGAUACCCCUGUAGUC
rnacentral:rRNA from 1 species